rnacentral:rRNA from 1 species
UACGUAGGGCGCAAGCGUUGUCCGGAAUUAUUGGGCGUAAAGAGCUCGUAGGCGGUUUGUCGCGUCUGCUGUGAAAACCUAAGGCUCAACCUUGGGCUUGCAGUGGGUACGGGCAGACUAGAGUGCGGUAGGGGUGACUGGAAUUCCUGGUGUAGCGGUGGAAUGCGCAGAUAUCAGGAGGAACACCGAUGGCGAAGGCAGCUCGCUGGGACGGUACUGACGC